rnacentral:rRNA from 1 species
AUUGAACGCUGGCGGCAGGCCUAACACAUGCAAGUCGAACGAGUGGCGGACGGGUGAGUAAUGUCUGGGAAACUGCCCGAUGGAGGGGGAUAACUACUGGAAACGGUAGCUAAUACCGCAUACCAUCAGAUGUACCCAGAUGGGAUUAGCUAGUAGGUGGGGUAAAGGCUCACCUAGGCGACGAUCCCUAGCUGGUCUGAGAGGAUGACCAGCCACACUGGAACUGAGACACGGGCCAGACUCCUACGGGAGGCAGCAGUGGGGAAUAUUGCACAAUGGGCGAAAGCCUGAUGCAGCAAUGCCGCGUGAGUGAAGAAGGCCUUCGGGUUGUAAAGCACUGUCAUCGGGGAGGCGUUACCCGAAGAAGAAGCACCGGCUAACUACGUGCCAGCAGCCGCGGUAAUUC